AAGGACCAGGCAGUCCAGGGAAUCCUCUCUCCCCACGCUGUCCAGGUAGACCAACGAUACCGCGCUGCCCAGCCAGACCCUGAGGACCUGAAGGACCAAGCGGACCCUGAGAGGGAACAGGAUGAGUGUGUUUGUGUGAGUGCAGGCAAUGCAAAGGGCUGGGGUUCUGUCUAGACCUGCUAUAACAGUCAGUGAUGGACACAUCUUAUUAAUGGAGUGUUCUUGGCUGCUGUCUGCUAUGGAUGAAAGCGGCUCGUUGGGCUGACAGUCAACAAGUCAACAGAAACAAAGGAGGCAAAUGAGGACCGUCCUCUCCAGCAUCUCCCUUUUCUCCCGGAGCCCCAGCAGGACCACGAAGCCCAGCAUCACCCUGUCUGCCUGGGGGUCCAUUGUCCCCCCUCACACCCUUGGGUCCAUCUUUGCCCGGGGGGCCAGCAGGUCCAGCAGGCCCAGGAUUACCCUAUGAGAAGCCAUGAGGAGGAAAUACAUGGAGCAGAAUAACUUUCCAAUACAUGUUGGUUCUGUUGCAUAAACUCCACAUUUAUAAAACCAACACUGUUUCUAUUUUGUCUGUGCAUCUUGUGCAACUAUUAAUAUCUUGUUUCUCACAUUAGCAGAUUUACGCAAUCUGAGGUGCUUCUCACAAUAUGUUGCACUUCCUUUUAGUCUGUAGAAGUACGAUAACUCGCAUUGUGCCGGACAUGCUGUUCUAUCACACGUACAUGCUGAGACAGCGAGUGUUACUGGUGAAAAUUAAAAAGGUUUUGUGACAAUAAGCCGGGUAACAUUUUGACAAGACCCCUGUAUUCGUUCUGCAGUAUCUGGUUCAUUCUGGCCAUUUAUUAAACUUCCAUAAGUUUACGUGAACUGCGAGGCGGCUGGGUUUAUCUAUAACAUUAAGAGACUGAACUUACAUUGGGACCUGGGGGUCCAACUCGACCAGCAGCUCCAGGGAAACCAGUGGCACCCUAAAAGUAAAAGAACAAUUUAGACAAAUUAUGAGCAACUAGAAGUCUGGACUUCGUUAUACAACUUCUGAAAUCUUACUUACAGGAGGUCCCUGAGCACCGCGAGCGCCUUUAGGUCCAGAAACACCUGUUGGACCCUGAAAGAGGAAUGUAUUGUACAGUACAUCACUGUUUGAAAUGACAUUACUUUCAUAUUGAAAAAUGAACAAUGUUGGAGUUUAUUCAGGGGGAUGUUCAGCCAGUUCUUAUUGUAUCUGGUUUGAAAAAAAAGCAGCACGAAGGACACUCUGACAACACAAAGUGAGCAUUGAACAGAAAAAAGAAACUAUCUGUGCAUUUAUGCAACAGACAACAACCUUCUCUUUUCACAAAAAGGCAGUCAUUAUGUGGAUAAUUUGCUGCUAAUGAGAAUUAAAAAAGAUAAUCACAGCUUUGUUAUGACUUGGUCAACACUAAGCUAAUACUAUUUUAAUGAUAUUCAUUAGUUUGAGUCUAAAUGUAAAAACACCCACUGCAGGUCCAGGGGCACCGGAUGGUCCUUGGGGUCCAGGGGCACCAGCGUCUCCCUUCUGUCCAGAUUCUCCCUGCUCUCCCUUGAUUCCAGGCUGACCAUCAGAACCCUGAAAGAAGAAAACGAAGGAGAUGAAGAGGUCCAGCAAAUCCAGCAGGUCCUGGAGGUCCGGUCUCACCCCUGUCGCCCUGAACAUUGAAGGAAAGGAGACAACAAAAUGAACAUCCAUAAUACUUCAGCAUUAAUGUGAAUAUUCUCUUUCAAAUGAUUGCUUCAAUUAAUCGAUGGUUAGAAAUCCUUGACGUUAACAUGGGAAAACAUUUAUAAACCCACACAUACUGAAUAAACACAGAUAACACAUACCGGUGCACCGCGGGUACCAGGAGCCCCAGAAGGACCAGCAGGACCAGAUUCACCCUGGAAGAGAACUCAUCAAUCAACACCAGCAUCACAUGUCAAGACCUUCACACUGGGUGUGGCUUUUAUGCCCCAAUCAGUGUAAACACAGUGUAAAUGUACACAGAUAUGAAAUUAAAUUACAGGCAACUGUAUUUUAGUGAUGCUCACCUUCUCUCCGUUGGGGCCAGCAGGGCCAGGAGGACCAAUGGGACCUGUGAGGCCCUGUAAUAGAAAACAUAGUAGAAGGGCUGUUACACCUUUAUUUUAGAAACUGGACCUAAAAACAUGAAAAUCUAUUUGCAAAAAGUAAGGAUUUUAACUUUAUACUCACUCUGGCGCCAUCUUUGCCUGAAGCACCUUCAGGUCCUUUCUCCCCAAGGUCGCCCUAUAAUGGAAAAAAGUAAGUGAGCAGGAAUGCCGGCACCUCCUCUCUCUCCAGGCAUACCCUGCAGGCCAGGUGGUCCCUGGGCUCCUGCGGCACCAGCGGGUCCAAUGGCUCCCUGUUACGAUGGAUAGAUAAAUGAAAACACAGAACCCUAAGCAGACCCCCGUUACUGCACAAGCAUAAAUCAGCGGACUUACUGAAGGUCCAACUUUGCCUUGAGGACCAGCGUCACCAGGGCGUCCAGUCAGGCCCUGUUAACGAAGGAGACAGAUGAUGACACUCACCAGACAUCUGUAUGUAGACAAAUGUUCGCUGAUGAAUUCAACUGUAAGACAGCAACUCGCGGAGGUAACUAAAAUCAUAAACAUGAAUGAAAAAAAACAUUUAGCUGGAAGGAGCUAUCUGAGCUCAGGUUGGAGAUUUAGAUCAAGCCACCUAUUUUAUAUAUCAAAGUUUGUUUACAGUUCACAGGAGUACAACUGUUUACAGUUGACUCAUAGGAGAGAGACAUGCACAGAGUCUGAUAAAUUGCCUCAAGAGAUGUCAUUUCAGCAGCAACAGCCUUAAUGUCUGAAAAUGAAAAACACCUGUAUUUUUCAGGGUAUGUCAGCAUUCACAGAUUAAAUUUUGACUACAUUAUUUCAAAUUUAGUUUAGUUUCAAUUUGUUCAUGUGAUCUAAACUUAGCAUAGAUCUCAGAGAAUAUUAUGUUUAUCUUGAUUUUAUGAAUUAAAAGGCAGUAAAGACUUGGGGCUGAUCCGAGUUACUGUACAGUUGGAUAAUAAUUGUUUAACUGUGUUUGAUAUGUGUAUCCUGUUUAAAUACUGACCACACUUUGAUAAUACACAGUUUGAAGAGGACAAACAUACCCUGGCACCAGGCAAACCAGACUCUCCAGGACGGCCUGGGUCCCCAUUAGCACCCUUGGGUCCACUGGCACCAGCGGGUCCUCGCUCACCAGGGGCUCCCUGAGAAUAAAAAGGAAAUUGGUCAAUCAGUCAAUUACUGAAGAGAGGACACUUCAAUCUUCCAACUCUCAUGGAAGUGAAUAUCUUUUUUAAUCGUGGGAAGUUUCAUUGACCUGCCGGAGAUGAGCAGAUUGAAUUCUGACAAAUUCAUCGUGGAAUAAAUGAAACAAUGUGGCAGGAAGAUAACGUUAAAUGAGACUCUGGCUUUAGUGAUUUGGAACAUGUAGGUCACAUGGGGAUGUGAGCUGUUCUGCCAUCUUGUGGCCAUGUGGUAAAGUUACUUUGGUCAGUGCAGCCCUUGCAUUGAGUUUCAUUCCACAAAAAAGCAGCAUUAGUAUUGUAUUUCACUGUUUGUCUAACACAGUAUGAAGUAAGGCACAGCUCCUUCACAGCAGAGAUUCUGUUCCUACCUUGGGACCAGCCAGACCAUCUUGACCAGGGAAACCACGGUUACCAGGAGCUCCCUUCACAGAACAUGAAGCAAGACUUAAUGAUUUGUUUGCAAGACUAUUACAAAUUCAAACAGAGGAAAUCUGAAGCUUCACUUACAGAAGCACCAGAAGGUCCAGGUGAUCCAGGUGUGCCAGACUCUCCACGAGGUCCUUGAGCACCUUCAGGUCCACGAGCUCCAGUAGGUCCAGCUUCUCCCUGACACAAAGAAGACAGUGAAAGAGAUGUACCACAGUGCUGCAAAAUAAUCUAUUUAGAAAACAUGCAACAGAAAAGCUAAUGUUUCCAAUAACCAUUCUGUCCCCGGGCUAAUAAAACCAAAUGUACUAAAUAUUAGAUCUGUACAUAAAUAAAUGAGCCACAGUUUCACUUUCAGUUUCAC